rnacentral:lncRNA from 1 species
CCAUUAUCUCCCAAUAAUGCCAUCAAAUUAUGAUCUCAUCCAUGGAUUAAUCUACCAGUAAAGUAAGAACCCUCAAGAUCUUCCACAAGCCCUACUUGUGAACAUGUAAAAAUUUGCAGCAAUAAUUUAGAUGUAAACCAUGAUGUACCACAACUCCUACCAGUUCACUCUUCUGCCAGCCUCCUGUGCAUCCACAGUCCAACUUCCACAUCUCAAGUGCAAAAUGAAAGGUCUUUGAGUAGAAGCAGAAACCACUGGAGCAGCAGUGUCAGUGCCUCCGCAGAGGUGUUAACUGGGAAUUGAAGAGAGUGGACCAAUUACUAUUUGAACAGAAGAAGAAAUUCACUGUAUAUCUGAACCUGGAUCAUGAUAAGGUCAAAUUACCUGAAAGACAAAAUUUGGCAAGUACUGC